rnacentral:rRNA from 1 species
AAACUAACAAGGAUUCCCCUAGUAACUGCGAGUGAAGCGGGAAAAGCUCAAAUUUAAAAUCUGGCGGUCUUUGGCCGUCCGAGUUGUAGUCUGGAGAAGUGCUUUCCGCGCUGGACCGUGUAUAAGUCUCUUGGAACAGAGCGUCAUAGAGGGUGAGAAUCCCGUCUUUGACACGGACUACCAGUGCUUUGUGAUGCGCUCUCAAAGAGUCGAGUUGUUUGGGAAUGCAGCUCAAAAUGGGUGGUGAAUUCCAUCUAAAGCUAAAUAUUGGCGAGAGACCGAUAGCGAACAAGUACCGUGAGGGAAAGAUGAAAAGCACUUUGGAAAGAGAGUUAAACAGUACGUGAAAUUGCUGAAAGGGAAACGCUUGAAGUCAGUCGCGUUGUCCGGAACUCAGCCUUGCUUUUGCUUGGUGCACUUUCCGGAUGACGGGUCAGCAUCGAUUUUGACCGUCGGAAAAGGGCUGGAGUAAUGUGGCACCUCCGGGUGUGUUAUAGACUCUGGUCGCAUACGGCGGUUGGGAUCGAGGAACGCAGCGCGCCGCAAGGCAGGGGUUCGCCCACUUUCGCGCUUAGGAUGCUGGCAUAAUGGCUUUAAACGACCCGUCUUGAAACACGGACCAAGGAGUCUAACAUACCUGCGAGUGUUUGGGUGGAAAACCCGAGCGCGUAAUGAAAGUGAAAGUUGAGACUCCUGUCGUGGGAGGCAUCGACGCCCGGACCUGACGUUCUCUGACGGAUCCGCGGUAGAGCAUGUAUGUUGGGACCCGAAAGAUGGUGAACUAUGCCUGAAUAGGGUGAAGCCAGAGGAAACUCUGGUGGAGGCUCGUAGCGAUUCUGACGUGCAAAUCGAUCGUCAAAUUUGGGUAUAGGGGCGAAAGACUAAUCGAAC